rnacentral:rRNA from 1 species
UACGAAGGGUGCAAGCGUUACUCGGAAUUACUGGGCGUAAAGCGUGCGUAGGUGGUUGUUUAAGUCUGUUGUGAAAGCCCUGGGCUCAACCUGGGAAUUGCAGUGGAUACUGGGCGACUAGAGUUCUGGAGAGGGUCGUGGAAUUCCCGGUGUAGCGGUGAAAUGCGUAGAGAUCGGGGGGAACACCAGAGGCGAAGGCGGCGACCUGGACAGACACUGACACUCAACUACGAAAGCGUGGGGAGCAAACAGG